UUAAGUUAUUAAGGGCGCACGGUGGAUGCCUUGGCACUAGAAGCCGAUGAAGGACGUUACUAACGACGAUAUGCUUUGGGGAGCUGUAAGUAAGCUUUGAUCCAGAGAUUUCCGAAUGGGGAAACCCAGCAUGAGUUAUGUCAUGUUAUCGAUAUGUGAAUACAUAGCAUAUCAGAAGGCACACCCGGAGAACUGAAACAUCUUAGUACCCGGAGGAAGAGAAAGAAAAUUCGAUUCCCUUAGUAGCGGCGAGCGAAAUGGGAAGAGCCCAAACCAACAAGCUUGCUUGUUGGGGUUGUAGGACACUCUAUACGGAGUUACAAAGGACGACAUUAGACGAAUCAUCUGGAAAGAUGAAUCAAAGAAGGUAAUAAUCCUGUAGUCGAAAAUGUUGUCUCUCUUGAGUGGAUCCUGAGUACGACGGAGCACGUGAAAUUCCGUCGGAAUCUGGGAGGACCAUCUCCUAAGGCUAAAUACUCUCUAGUGACCGAUAGUGAACCAGUACCGUGAGGGAAAGGUGAAAAGCACCCCGGAAGGGGAGUGAAAUAGAACCUGAAACCGUGUGCUUACAAGUAGUCAGAGCCCGUUAAUGGGUGAUGGCGUGCCUUUUGUAGAAUGAACCGGCGAGUUACGAUUUGAUGCAAGGUUAAGCAGUAAAUGUGGAGCCGUAGCGGAAGCGAGUCUGAAUAGGGCGUUUAGUAUUUGGUCGUAGACCCGAAACCAGGUGAUCUACCCUUGGUCAGGUUGAAGUUCAGGUAACACUGAAUGGAGGACCGAACCGACUUACGUUGAAAAGUGAGCGGAUGAACUGAGGGUAGCGGAGAAAUUCCAAUCGAACCUGGAGAUAGCUGGUUCUCUCCGAAAUAGCUUUAGGGCUAGCCUCAAGUGAUGAUUAUUGGAGGUAGAGCACUGUUUGGACGAGGGGCCCCUCUCGGGUUACCGAAUUCAGACAAACUCCGAAUGCCAAUUAAUUUAACUUGGGAGUCAGAACAUGGGUGAUAAGGUCCGUGUUCGAAAGGGAAACAGCCCAGACCACCAGCUAAGGUCCCAAAAUAUAUGUUAAGUGGAAAAGGAUGUGGCGUUGCCCAGACAACUAGGAUGUUGGCUUAGAAGCAGCCAUCAUUUAAAGAGUGCGUAAUAGCUCACUAGUCGAGUGACACUGCGCCGAAAAUGUACCGGGGCUAAACAUAUUACCGAAGCUGUGGAUUGUCCUUUGGACAAUGGUAGGAGAGCGUUCUAAGGGCGUUGAAGCAUGAUCGUAAGGACAUGUGGAGCGCUUAGAAGUGAGAAUGCCGGUGUGAGUAGCGAAAGACGGGUGAGAAUCCCGUCCACCGAUUGACUAAGGUUUCCAGAGGAAGGCUCGUCCGCUCUGGGUUAGUCGGGUCCUAAGCUGAGGCCGACAGGCGUAGGCGAUGGAUAACAGGUUGAUAUUCCUGUACCACCUAUAAUCGUUUUAAUCGAUGGGGGGACGCAGUAGGAUAGGCGAAGCGUGCGAUUGGAUUGCACGUCUAAGCAGUAAGGCUGAGUAUUAGGCAAAUCCGGUACUCGUUAAGGCUGAGCUGUGAUGGGGAGAAGACAUUGUGUCUUCGAGUCGUUGAUUUCACACUGCCGAGAAAAGCCUCUAGAUAGAAAAUAGGUGCCCGUACCGCAAACCGACACAGGUAGUCAAGAUGAGAAUUCUAAGGUGAGCGAGCGAACUCUCGUUAAGGAACUCGGCAAAAUGACCCCGUAACUUCGGGAGAAGGGGUGCUCUUUAGGGUUAACGCCCAGAAGAGCCGCAGUGAAUAGGCCCAAGCGACUGUUUAUCAAAAACACAGGUCUCUGCUAAACCGUAAGGUGAUGUAUAGGGGCUGACGCCUGCCCGGUGCUGGAAGGUUAAGAGGAGUGGUUAGCUUCUGCGAAGCUACGAAUCGAAGCCCCAGUAAACGGCGGCCGUAACUAUAACGGUCCUAAGGUAGCGAAAUUCCUUGUCGGGUAAGUUCCGACCCGCACGAAAGGCGUAACGAUUUGGGCACUGUCUCAACGAGAGACUCGGUGAAAUCAUAGUACCUGUGAAGAUGCAGGUUACCCGCGACAGGACGGAAAGACCCCGUGGAGCUUUACUGUAGCCUGAUAUUGAAAUUCGGCACAGCUUGUACAGGAUAGGUAGGAGCCUUUGAAACGUGAGCGCUAGCUUACGUGGAGGCGCUGGUGGGAUACUACCCUAGCUGUGUUGGCUUUCUAACCCGCACCACUUAUCGUGGUGGGAGACAGUGUCAGGCGGGCAGUUUGACUGGGGCGGUCGCCUCCUAAAAGGUAACGGAGGCGCUCAAAGGUUCCCUCAGAAUGGUUGGAAAUCAUUCAUAGAGUGUAAAGGCAUAAGGGAGCUUGACUGCGAGACCUACAAGUCGAGCAGGGUCGAAAGACGGACUUAGUGAUCCGGUGGUUCCGCAUGGAAGGGCCAUCGCUCAACGGAUAAAAGCUACCCCGGGGAUAACAGGCUUAUCUCCCCCAAGAGUUCACAUCGACGGGGAGGUUUGGCACCUCGAUGUCGGCUCAUCGCAUCCUGGGGCUGUAGUCGGUCCCAAGGGUUGGGCUGUUCGCCCAUUAAAGCGGUACGCGAGCUGGGUUCAGAACGUCGUGAGACAGUUCGGUCCCUAUCCGUCGUGGGCGUAGGAAAUUUGAGAGGAGCUGUCCUUAGUACGAGAGGACCGGGAUGGACAUACCUCUGGUGUACCAGUUGUCGUGCCAACGGCAUAGCUGGGUAGCUAUGUGUGGACGGGAUAAGUGCUGAAAGCAUCUAAGCAUGAAGCCCCCCUCAAGAUGAGAUUUCCCAACUUCGGUUAUAAGAUCCCUCAAAGAUGAUGAGGUUAAUAGGUUCGAGGUGGAAGCAUGGUGACAUGUGGAGCUGACGAAUACUAAUCGAUCGAAGACUUAAUCAA
rnacentral:rRNA from 2 species